GACGAACGCUGGCGGCGUGCCUAAUACAUGCAAGUUGAGCGCUGAAGGUUGGUACUUGUACCGACUGGAUGAGCAGCGAACGGGUGAGUAACGCGUGGGGAAUCUGCCUUUUAGCGGGGGACAACAUUUGGAAACGAAUGCUAAUACCGCAUAAAACCUUUAAACACAAGAUUUAAGUUUGAAAGAUGCAAUUGCAUCACUCAAAGAUGAUCCCGCGUUGUAUUAGCUAGUUGGUGAGGUAAAGGCUCACCAAGGCGAUGAUACAUAGCCGACCUGAGAGGGUGAUCGGCCACAUUGGGAAUGAGACACGGCCCAAACUCCUACGGGAGGCAGCAGUAGGGAAUCUUCGGCAAUGGACGAAAGUCUGACCGAGCAACGCCGCGUGAGUGAAGAAGGGUUUCGGAUCGUAAAACUCUGUUUGUAGAGAAGAACGAUGGUGAGAGUGGAAAGCUCAUCAAGUGACGGUAACUAACCAGAAAGGGACGGCUAACUACGUG
rnacentral:rRNA from 1 species